rfam:Triticum urartu cultivar G1812 contig459874, whole genome shotgun sequence.
AUAGUACUCUCUUCAUCCGGAAAUACUUGUCACUAAAAUGAAUAAAAGAGAAUAUAUCUAGAUGUAUUUAGUUCUAAAUACAUUCAUUUUUAUCCAUUUUGAUGAUAAGUAUUUUCGGACAGAGGGAGUAGACA